GGAAAUUAAAGUUUCGGAUAGUUUUGCGAAAAAAGGAAGUGUUUUGGUGUAGGAGAAAGUUUGAUUUAUUGAAAGGUCAGCUCUGCACACCUGAUUCCAAGCGAACCUCCGACGAAUCUACCGUGCCUAGAUGCUAGUUUGUUCCUUGCUGCAAACCUAAGUUGCAAGCAACCAACAAUCCGCCACCGGUACCAGGAACCGUCACUGAGGGUGAUUUGUACCUGACGAGUGGAAAGGAGAAGAUAAGGAAGAGAGGAAGGAAGGGGUGAAGGAAGGAGUUUGGAAAGCGUAGAAGGAAGACCAAUUAAUUUUGAAGCUGCUACGUAAAGCUGCUGAUCAAAAAUUUGGUU
rnacentral:lncRNA from 1 species